AGAUUUAGUUGCUGCAGAGACAAUUUAAAUUAAUGAGGGAGAAGAAAAAAUAAUGAUUGAACUACAAAACAGAAACAGCAGACAUGGCUAUACGAAAAUAAUGAAGUGGAACCCUCCGAAUUUGGAACAAGUAUCCAAGGACAUGGUAGAUCAGUAUUUUUCACCUCUGAGCGAAUUUGAGCCUGGUCUAGAGCUACCCAUCAAACAGCGCGAAACUUUCACGUAGUUGAGAAUGUGCUCCUCAUUUUUGUUUUAUGUUUUCUGCAGAAGGAUAUUGGAAGCCAAAAGAAUUCAAAGCCUUCUAUGUUUUGCCCUGAUCUCUCUCUCUUUCAUUUUUGUAGUGGAUGAAUAUUAAGAUCGUUCUGUUGCAUAAUGAAAAUUUACAAUUUUUUUCUUAUAA